ACCCAGUGACCUUGUGUCACACACUGUGACUGAUGUAUUUUGAUUUUUACAAACUGCAAAAGUUGGUUUUACUGAUGGGCAGGAUAACCAAUAGUGCAACAACUUCAUAUUUCUCCAGUAUGCCAGAAAUAAAAAGGCAAAGUCCAUUAGUCCUUGCACAGCUCAAAACCUGGGAUCCUGGAUUCUUUCCUCUGAAACUCAAUGUUUUGCAGUAGCAACCAGAAAAUGAUAAUAAAUAAGCAGUGUGUGCAUGGAUGGUCCUUGUCUUAGCUACCAUUUUGAAGGGCUUAUCUGUUAUAAAACUCUGUAAUGCUCCAGUCCUUGCUGGAAGAGAGGAUGAAUGAAGAUUCAUUGAAUUACAUGACCAAAACUGUAUGUGUUCUAAAGGAUAUAUGUUUAAAAAAUAAAGAAAUUAAGUUCAUUUAUACUCCUUUUUUUAUAGUAUGAAGCAGGUAGAUCUUUUGCUGAUAAUAUGGCACACUGUUUUUAUGCUCCUGUUUGCACAAAAUCUUAUUAGAGAUUCUGAUCACAAUCAUCCCCCAGAACUAUGGAACCAUAUCUUUCUAAUAAUUAUAUUGUUAUUAAUAACAAUAAGCAUUUAAAAGAUUUCAUCUAUACUCUGUUGGUAAAUUUCUGAAGAGCUAAGAAGGGGCUAUUCUGGUAGGCAUUGAUACUUGCAGUGUUUUCUGCCGUCAUCAUCACUCCUUGAAUCCCUUUGUUCUUCACCCUGCCUCAAAUUUUCAUUACCUCCUUCUGUUUAUCCUUUCAAACUCACUAAAGGCUUUACUCUUGGGAUCUUUUCCAAAUUCACUAAAGGCUUUGCUCUUGGGACCUCAUCUUUCAGUUUGCUUUAUGAAAUACCUGUCCUUUUUAAGUAUGCUGCAAAAUAACAAUAGCAUCCUGAGGCAUGAAAUGGAUUUAGACCCUCAGCACUUUCCAUGGGAUUCACUUAGCUGGGAAGAAGAGUAAUUUAUCAUCUCCAGAGGAAAGAGACAUGAGCAGCAGAAGAGAGUUUUACAGGAGCAGCUGAUGCCUGAGUGCUGUAAGAGCAAGGGAUAGAGCAGAGCCUCCUCAGGGGCUGCAGGAAGCUCUGCCAGUGGUUGUACCUGUUUAGGAGAACAUAGCUCCUAAAUGAAAGUCACUGUGCAUCUGGUGCAUUAGUUGCAGGCUGCCUCAGUUUAGGUCAUAUGGUUCUAGUUUAGUUGAGAGGGGAAGAUUUUUACCUAAAUGUUUUAUAACCUAUCUACCAUCUUGGUUUGGUGCUACCAUUUUACUUUUCUUGAUAUGUCAUUUUUCCAAUUUAUCUGCACUUUCUGUAUUGGGAGUGAACUGGGUUGGAUUAACUUGCAUUAUUUUUAUAAUACAAGGUUUAUUGUGUGGUCAACUUAUGUGUGUCAUUAAUUGCCUUAUUGUGAUGCUUUAUCAGAAUAAUAAUUCUAUGAACUGAGUGGAUAAAUAGUUUUAAUAUAUAUAACUUAUUCUGGUGAUCUUUCCCAGUAUUUGGUUUCUGCUGAUCUCUCUAACUGAACCUCCUGAUCAUUUGUGAUGGAACUUACAGAAAUUUAAACACCAAAAGCUGAUAACAAGGUGUACUGACAAUUUGAGAAAGCCAGAGCUGGUCUGGGUUUCUCUGUUUUGCUGGGAUCUCGAUUGGGAGGAGGAGAAAGUUGCAUUAGGUGAGGUCUGUAUCAGGCUGUAAAAAAGGGGUUGUGCAUCAUCCUUAAUGAUACAUAAGAACAGUUAUUCUGUCACUGCCGAGGUGAAUGUGGACUCAGUUCCACUGUGUGCUGAUAGGGGGCCACUAAUAAGAUCCAAAUGUUACCUGUGGAUUAGAAAAUAAUUUGUGAAGCCUCAGAAAUGGAUGUUGUGUACAAGCCUCCAGGUAAGUUUCCGUGUACCUCCUAAUGUGAGGUACAAGCCGCCUCUUCAUCGUGCCAGUUUCAAAAUCCUUGGCACCUCAGGGAGAAGGGCAUGGGCUCCCAGGCUGGAUUUCAGCUGAGGAUACAGCAUCUCAUCUGCUCACAGAGGGGCUUUUCUGUGUCCUGUCUCUACAUACACAUACUAUGUGUCCAUUCUGGUUGGGAUUGGGCAUGUGCCCUAGUUUCCUGCACAGCUGGUGGGCCUCAGAUUUAAACACUUUUUAUCACGAAAUACGAGUAAUUAGAUGGCUUCAACACUGAGCAGACAGCUGUGUAUUUAAAUGUGACCUUAUACCCAGUCAGUCUCACAACCUGCAUUUGGAAUAUGGUAUUUAGGUAAAUGCUGUGCUGAGCCUGAGGAAUUGUUAAAAGUGACACAAUGGUAUGCUAAUGCAAUUACCUGACUUGCAGUGCUGAGAUUUGGCCUUUGUUUGGGCUCAGUUGCAGUUUAACCAGAUGCAAAAAUAUGUAGACAGUAAGUUGUACACUGCUGAAACAAGCCUAGCAGGGCAAAGGUGAGAUCCACGUGUCAAAGGUGGUGCUACAGACAGCUGCCACAAGAUCUGCCAGUGACACUUCCUAUUUCCAGUGGAGAGAGGACUGGGAGGAGGCUUCAGAGCAGUGAGUACCAUCUGGACAUGUCCCUGAGAACUUGGGAUCUGUUGUUUGGGAUGAGGGGGAUUUGUUAUUAGUAGAAGGUUGCUCACUGUGUGUUGAGGUUAUCUUGACGCAGGAGGAAAGGCUCCAAACACCUGAUCUGCAACACGUUUGUGCAGCCACAGUGAAUCAGUGCUGCUUUGCCCUUUUGCUGCUUGGGGCUGCUGCCUAGAUGUCAAGUCUCAUUCAGUAAAUGAUGCAAGGAUUUGGGAAGCAGAACAAUGAGUAGAGACGGUGUCCUGCCAGUAAUUGCUGGAAGCAGAGGAGAGAGAAGGGAGCUGUAGGAUAUUGGCACGUGAAGAAGCGCAGAGAUAUUCCUACUCUGGCUGACAGUUUCUAAUAAAGAUAUUUUUAUUGCAAUUGGAAAUUGUCUUCUGGUCAUUUCCUGUUCCAAUCAGCAUCGGUUUGUCUUCAUUUCAAGCGUGAUUCUGCUGAAAAACACUCUGUCCAGUGGCCCAGGGUAUCUGUUGGUAUUGCUUCCGACUUAACAGCCAACGUUAUCUGGGACACAAGUGUGAGCAGCACAAAAGGAAAAGGGAAAAACAAAUCCUGUGUAUGAGUGUGCAGGUGGUGUUCUUGUAUGCUCAGUUAUUUCCACAACAGUGGAAAUAAUCUGAGUUGCUUGUAAACCAUUACAUUCAGAUGACAAAUGGACUUUUUUGUUUACCACUGGUGGUUUUUCUUCAUUGAAUGGUUAAAUAAAUCACCAUGAGGUAUUUUCAUGUACUAUGGAUCCAGAUCCUUUUGGAUCAUGUUCAUGUAAUUUUCUCACUGUAUUUAUAUCUAUUGCAUCAGUCAUCCUGUAAUUAUCAUAUGAAUUAAUAUGAUCUCUUUAUUUUUGUGCUAAGUUAAUUAUGUACUACUCUAUGCCUACUUUGCCAAGUAAACUCUAUUGUAGUAUAGUAUUACUCUAUGGCUAUUUUUUAUGUCUCUUGGUAAUUUUGCGUUUCACAUUCAAAUAGAACAUAAAAAAUGGAAAUACAAAAAUAACCUGGUAAUGGAGGAGCACAAAAUGG